UUWCAAAAACAUCUUUUCUUGUUAGUUUUUGAAGUAUGGCCUGCCCGCUGACAUUGAGUGUUGAAGGGCCGCGGUAUUUUGACCGUGCAAAGGUAGCAUAAUCAUUAGUUCUUUAAUUGUGAUCUGGAAUGAAUGGCUUGACGAGGCACGGGCUGUCUUAGUGUUGAAUGUUUUAUUGAAUUUGGUCUUUGAGUUAAAAUUCUUAAAUGUUUUUGUGGGACGAGAAGACCCUAUAGAGUUUGACAUUUGGUUUAUUUCCUGUUUGGUUGUUUGUUUGUUUUGUUGGUGAGUGGGCUUUUUGUUUUGUUGGGGUGAUGAGAGGAAUAUGUUUAACUCCUCUUGGUUUUGGUUAUAUUGAUUUAUAGUUGUUUGAUCCAUUUAUUUUGAUUAUAAGACUAAAUUACCUUAGGGAUAACAGCGUUAUCUUCCUUGAGAGUUCUUAUCGGCAGGGAGGUUUGCGACCUCGAUGUUGGAUUAAGGUGAAUUUUUGGUGUAGGGGCUGAAAGUUGUAUUGGGUCUGUUCGACCUUUGAAAUCUUACGUGAUCUGAGGACC
rnacentral:rRNA from 1 species